rnacentral:lncRNA from 10 species
GGGAAGCUAUUGAUUUGAGGAAUUUGAAGGUUUCUGGAGGAAGGACUUGGAAAAUUUGAAGUGAACCUCUUUUGGGAAUUAAAAGUCUGGAGAAUUUUGUUGACCCAGCAUCAAGUUCACUGAUCUUUUUUGUUGUGUACAAUCUGCUAUUCAGCACAUCCACUUCCAAAGUCAUGUUGCUGAUAUUGAAAUGUCAAUUCCUUGACCUUUGGAUGCACAUGGGAGUCUCAGAGAACAUUCCAAGCAUUUGAAAGCUUUUGCAUGGCAGGAGACAGAGAGAAACCCUGAAAGGAAGACUGAACCACAGGAUUUCUGACCCUCUAGGCAAUGCCUCUGAGAACCUUGGAAUGGAGAAAGGGAACAAUGUCAUCUGCACUCAGUCAUGGAGGAAACAGCUGGACAAGUCAGCACAGGGCGGAGGUGACCGGUGGAGGCGACUAGGACUUCUUCAGGCAGCAUCUGAAGUCUCUCUGAAAACACAAGAAAAGAAUAUACAGAGAACCUCCCAGAAACUGCAAGUCCCAUGGAAAUUAAGGCCAUUAGUGUUUUGUAUAAUAAACAGUCACCUUUGCAUUUAAAAUGGACUAUUUUGUUUUGGAUAUAGGUGGAGUAGGAUAUAAAUGUAUACUUCCUUGCUUCUUAGUUUAUCAUAGGAAUCUAAGAAAAGAACUAAGGAUAAGAGAAAAGGAGGAAAAAAAGACAGCUCUGCUGCUUUUAUCUCAGGUUAUUUCAGAAAAAACAAAAUGAUAACCCUGCAAAAUUCUCAGCACUCUUCACUUUGGUUCCACCGCUUUCAGUGGGUGACUUGUCUGGAAAGGAAUCUCUUUUAGCCUUCCUGGCUAAUGAGCCAUGGCAGAUAAUGCCACAAGGUGUCACUAUUGCUAAAAUCGCUCUCCACCUACAGGAUCGAU